CUGCCCAGUGAUUAAGUUUAAACGGCCGCGGUAUCCUAACCGUGCAAAGGUAGCAUAAUCACUUGCCUAUUAAUUGUAGGCUAGAAUGAAUGGAUAAACGUAAUAAAAGCUGUCUCGAUCGUUAUCCUAUAAAUUAACAUCUGUAUGAAGAGUUACAAAUUAAUUCGGAGGACAAGAAGACCCUAUAGAGCUUUAUUUUUAAUAUAGGUAAUGCUAUAUUAUAAAUUCGGUUGGGGCGACCAAGGGCAGUAUAUAUCACCCUGUACUAUAACGAUGCAUUAAUCUAAAAAGUGACCCUAAUAAGAUCAUAAAAAUAAGCUACCUUAGGGAUAACAGGCUAAUCCCAUUUAAGAGUUCAUAUCUACAAUGGGGUUUGGCACCUCGAUGUUGGCUUAGGGAGCCCCUUAGCGCAAAAGUUAAGAAGAGAUGGUUGUUCAACCAAUAA
rnacentral:rRNA from 1 species